AGACAGGGAGGGGGCCGGGGGCUCUGCGACUUUGCUGUUUUCAAGAGAUAGGAGAGAGCGCUCCGGGGAAACCACACGGGGCAGCACUGUGGCCUCGGGGACUCUCGGACAAGCACGCAGCCGUGGUAGGCUGUCCCUCUGUCCUGGGGCCCUUCGGGACACUUCCUCCUCAGCCCAGAGAGACCUGUGACCUCAGCAGGUCUCAGCCGAACCUGAACUUCCUGAUCCAGGGGGAUGGGUUUGAGCCGCCACGGUGGGGCCUCCCCAGGAUCCCCAGGCCGGACGAGAACGAGAGACACAACUGAGCACAGACUGGCCGAGGUCAGGAGGCAGGUCCCCAGAUGUGACACCCCCACCCGCAAUUGGCUCUGUUGUUUAUCAGGGGCCUGAGCUGGGACAAUCCCCGAGCAGGGGGAGCGGAUUCCGGGCCAGGGUAUGGGGUACAGGAUCGGGACGGACUCUCGGAGGGAUCUUGUAAUUCUCGACACGUCGUUCGCGUCCCUGACCUGGGUUUGUCCUCACGACGGUGCGGGGAGCUCAGUCUUUGCACAAGUAUUUGCUGAGCACCUACUCUGUCCCAGGCCUGUUCCAGGUGCUGGAGCUUCCGCAGUGAGCAGAGCAGAUAAAGGGCCGUGCACCCCGGGAGGUUCCGUUCUGGGGGAAAAGGCAGGCGCGCAGCAAGGAAACGCGUCGCGCCCGCGUGGAGGGCGCACGGCUGGCCUCCGCUCUUCUCCCUUCCCCACAAGAGCACAAGGACGCUGAGGCCCAGAGUGGGGAGAAGAGCUUCUCAACAUUACAGUUCACGUGUCUAAGCCCGGACAAGAACCCGGCUGCCUUGACUCAGCUGGCUUAUUCAUUCCUUCAGCACGUUUUUAUUGAGCACCUACUAUGAGUGUAUAAUUGUAUUGGGAGCUGGAGAUACCACAGUGAAAAGGACAUCCCUUCUGCAAGCAACGUUGGUUUAGAAGAACUUCUCCUGGGGCGCCUGGGUGGCCAGUCGGGUACAGUUCGGUGAGAAGACCGGUGGGGACUCAGCCCCGGGCCCUGGAGCAAACAGAAAAAGCUCGAUGUAACGCUGGCAUCUAAUCUUCCUGUUCCGCGCGACUCGGCGGCUCUUCUCUCAGGGACACGCCAAAGUGACACUCGCGCGCGUGCCCCAGGCCACGCGUACAAGGAGGUGCGUCGCAGCCCUGUUCACCGUAGCAACAUCUGGAGCCAACCGUUCCGCUCACUGGAAAGAAAACGGAGCCCUGCCAUCACUUGUGGAACAUGUUCAAAACCCUGAAAGGAAACCCCCAGAGCGCCGAGCCCUCUCGCACCGUUUUCCACCCGCAUGGAGAGACCACAGUCUGUUUAGAUGGGGAAACCAAGUCUCAGAGAUUAAUUGACUUGCCUAGGUGUCCAACGGCUUUUGGAACUGGAGUCUCGGUGCAGGCCUGGCUGGCUGGGGCUGUUGUUUUCUUGAAGUCUCCAAAAGAUGAGGUCACAAGGCCCAGAGAGGUGAAUACAUCACCCAAGAUCCCCAGCAGAGGAAGGAGGCACACCUACCUCACCUCCUCCAGGAAGCCCUCCAUGCCUGCUGCGUUGCCUCAACUCCUCCACCACUUGGGGGCUCAGGGACACAUCCCCAGAGCCCGUUUGUCUUCUAACACAACUCAGUGGUCUGGGGCCGAGACACCCAACUCUGCAGAGUCAGCUGAGACCAGGAGGCUCUAACUCCCCAAACAAUGACUCGAAUGGCGUCCGUGCCCAGAACCCUGCCUGGAUGAACAAUCCUGAGCCGCCUACAGCCUUUCUCAUCUGUUGUCAUCCCUGUUUUACAGGUGAGGAAACUGAGGCCCAGAGAGGGUGACAGACUGGUCCAAGGCCACACAGCUGCAGAGGAGCCCGGAUGUGGGCAGAGAGACUCCAGUUAGGGCCAUAUUUAUGGCUCCCAUAGGAGAGGAUGUGAACCCCGGGCCACAAGGCCCUUGACGCUGUUUUUAGGUUUCGGUCAUGCGGAUUCUCCCAGGUUAUGCAGCCUGGGCCGGCAGCUCUAAUCGGGCCAAGGAAUGUCACAGCGGCUCAGCAGGGCCAGGAUGGGGAGGGGGGCUGGGCAGAGGAGGGAGUGGAGUCUUGGCCGCAGUAACAAAUAGAAAGCAGAUUGUGUUUCCCUUUGCUUCCAGGGAGGGGAUGUGCCGGAACCCAAUUACCCCCUUACAAUGGAUGCUCUAUUGUCGGAUGAGGCAAGCUAUUUGUUAAGCACCUACUCUGUGUGGACACUAAGGCCAUGCUCAUUUGCCAACUAUUUGCGGAGCGCCUACUAUGUGCUAAACGCUAAGGCCGUGGGCAUUCGUCUGCCAAGUGUCUGUGGAACACCUACCAUGCGUCAGGCGUUCGGGAUGCCGCGGUGAACAAGACAGACGUGGUCUCGGGCAUCUUACAGUCCGCUGGGGGGCAGACACUCAACAACAGUUCGACUCGAGGGGCGUUUAUUGCCCACCGACUGCAUGCGGUGUUGCUAGGCUCUUGGAGGACGGGAUUGGAAGUAAAUGCAUGACGGUCAGUGCGGGUAGCAGGAGGAUGAGUCGACUUAGGACGGGAACCCUGCCUCCAUCACGAACUAAGUUUGUAACUUUGAGAGACUGAUUUUACCUCCAGGGUCUCAGUUUACUCGCCCGUGGAAUGGGCGGUAAGGAGACUUAGCAAAGGGGCCUGAGAAAUGUCAUCCGUUUUCUGCGGGGGCAGCGGCUGCCCUUGAUGGCUCAGUGUCUGUUCCUCCUUCUGGCAGUGGCCUCCUGAUCUCGUUGGGGGAGAAGAGUUCUCUUCCUUCCUCUCAGCACCUGCAGACCAGGUGGGGCUGACUCCUCCCACCCCACUCCUGGGAGAGCACGUGACUAAGCCUGGCCAAUGAGAUCCUUUCAUCCCCUGGCCCCAGUCGCUGGGUAGAGGGGCGGUCAGUGAUCCAGGAAGGGUGCAAUGAGACUCAGUUUGGGAACUAUCGAGGACACCACAUCUUUCCGCUGAGGCUGGCACGCGGGGGGAGACGCGGGCCCCUGGUGCCACUUGCCUCAUGAGGGGGGGAGCCUCCCUGAGAACGAAACCAACCCAGAAGAAACAGAGGCGAGGAGUCCUGAUGGUGCCGUUUCGAGCCCCUGGAUCCAGCUAUGCCUGAAGGUUGUGCAAAUUCUGGACUUUUCAGUAACACGAGCCACUCAAAACUCUUGGUUGCUUUAGUCACCUUGAAUUGGGAUUCUGUCACUCGAAACCAAGAGCCCUGACUCAUAAGUAGGCCUUUCCUCCCCCACUUAUUUCAUAGAACAGAAAUCCCAGUAAUCCUGGCAUACCUGAACACGGAAAAUUAAUUCCCUUGCUUCCUAAAAAGCUGAUGAGAAAUGGACAGCGACAGAGGCCGCACGAGCACUCCUUUCUUUUUGGUGUGUGAGGACAUCCAUCCUCCCGCGGCCCCCGACCUCGCUGAGCCAGAGCAGAAAUCGCUUAACCUUCUGGGCCUUGGCUUUGAAAGGUUUGUGAUGGAUGGCGCUCAGCCUCGUGGGCAGAAAUGGAAAAUUCUCGGCUGUCUGGUCUGUCCCUUCAUGCUGCAUUUCCCAGCCGGCCCAGGCCAGGAAAGCUGUCGGUGAGCGAAACCUGGUGAGAUUCCGAGGCCGCCGACUUUUUCCGUGAAGGGCCAGAUAGUGAAUGUGUCAGGCGCCGUGGGCCAUAAAGGUCCCUGUUACACAUUCUUCUUUGUUCUGUUUGUUUGUUUUCUUUUCUUACGGCCCUUUAAAAAUGUAAGAAGUUUAAAAAAAAUGCAAGAAAUCAUACGUAGGCCGCACAAAAACAGGCCACGGGGUGGAUAUGGCCCAUGGUGAUAGUUUGCCGACUCCUGGAUUAGAUUAUAGUUAUGGAGACCUAUGGUCUCUUUUCUCCCUCUUUCCCUCCCUCCUUCCUUCUUUUCUUUUCUCUUUUCUUUUCUUUCCUUUCCUUUUUUCUUUUCCUUUCCUUUCCUUUCCUCUCUUUUCUUUUCUUCUCUUUUCUCCCAACAAAACCUCAUUCCCCCCAAACCCAGGAAAUAUUCUGGAAAUUCUAACACUUUGGUGUAAAAACUCAGAUUUACGAGUAGCCCCUGUCUUGUUGGUCUGCCCCCUGUCUCCCUGGCACUUAUCACAAUUUGUAACUAUACAGUUUAUUUCUUUGAUUA